rnacentral:lncRNA from 1 species
ACCACCACUUGCGCCACCGGAAGAACCGCUACGAAAACUCAUUCCUGUGGCUGCAAUAGCGGCAGGGGUGCAAUUCGGGUGGGCCCUACAGCUCUCUUUGUUGACUCCGUACGUACAGCUACUGGGCAUUCCCCAUACUUGGGCGGCCUUCAUCUGGUUGUGUGGGCCAAUCUCCGGCUUGUUCGUGCAGCCGGAAUACUGUUGAAUCAGAACCACCACUUGCGCCACCGGAAGAACCGCUACGAAAACUCAUUCCUGUGGCUGCAAUAGCGGCAGGGGUGCAAUUCGGGUGGGCCCUACAGCUCUCUUUGUUGACUCCCUACGUACAGCUACUGGGCAUUCCCCAUACUUGGGCGGCCUUCAUCUGGUUGUGUGGGCCAAUCUCCGGCUUGUUCGUGCAGCCGAUUGUCGGGUACUACAGUGACAAUUGCACCUCCAGAUUUGGGCGUCGCCGUCCCUUUAUAGCCGCCGGUACCGCACUUGUCGCCGUCGCCGUUUUUCUAAUUGGGUUUGCCGCAGAUAUUGGUCGUGCCUCCGGUGACCCACUCGGGAAGACGGCGAAGCCCCG